rnacentral:rRNA from 1 species
UUUAUAAUCUGGCACCUUCGGUGUCCGAGUUGUAAUCUCUAGAAGUGUUUUCCGCGUUGGACCGCACACAAGUCUGUUGGAAUACAGCGGCAUAGUGGUGAGACCCCCGUAUAUGGUGCGGACGCCCAACGCUUUGUGAUACACUUUCGAAGAGUCGAGUUGUUUGGGAAUGCAGCUCAAAUUGGGUGGUAAAUUCCAUCUAAAGCUAAAUAUUGGCGAGAGACCGAUAGCGAACAAGUACCGUGAGGGAAAGAUGAAAAGCACUUUGGAAAGAGAGUUAACAGUACGUGAAAUUGUUGGAAGGGAAACGCUUGAAGUCAGACUUGCUUGCCGAGCAAUCGGUUUGCAGGCCAGCAUCAGUUUUCCGGGGUGGAUAAUGGUAGAGAGAAGGUAGCAGUUUCGGCUGUGUUAUAGCUCUCUGCUGGAUACACCUUGGGGGACUGAGGAACGCAGUGUGCCUUACGGCGGAUUUCUCGAGAUCUUCACACUUAGGAUGCUGGUGGAAUGGCUUUAAACGAC